rnacentral:rRNA from 1 species
GUCCACGCCGUAAACGAUGGAUACUAGCUGUUGGGGGCAACUUCAGUGGCUAAGCGAAAGUGAUAAGUAUCCCACCUGGGGAGUACGUUCGCAAGAAUGAAACUCAAAGGAAUUGACGGGGGCCCGCACAAGCGGUGGAGCAUGUGGUUUAAUUCGAUGAUACGCGAGGAACCUUACCAAGGCUUAAAUGUAGAUUGACAGGACUGGAACAGUUUUUUCUUCGGACAAUUUACAAGGUGCUGCAUGGUUGUCGU